GUUACUGUGUAGGGAGUUCGGGCAGACGGGAACUCUAACUUAAGUGAUGAAAUUGGCAUGCUUCUUAGUGCGAAAAGUGCUGCUAUUGGUCUGAGGUCCAUAGGAGCUGUCAUAUACAUGCAACGAAAUAGUCUCAAAAUGUGCUUGCGCAACUCUGACAGUGCUACUGAUACUUCUGAAGUUGCUAAGGCAUAUGGCGGAGGAGGUUCUGCAAGUUCAAGCUCCUUCAUAAUAAGGAUGGAUGAGUA